AUCUGCACUUAUGUAUACGCGAGUUGUCAUAGAUUACUAGAAAGCACACUUGACCUCGGAAAGAAAUAUUUGCACUUUUCAGAAGUGUUGUCUUACGGAAAAGUUACAAAUCUACGGAAAGCUUUUAAAGGAGUUAGAUGUAUAGCUGUAUUUAGCGGGAGUUUCUCAAGUGCUCUGAAGCUGAUCUCAGCUCGUACUUUGUGUAACGUACGGGGUAUGGAUAACCCAACAACUGCUUCGCCACUUUUAUCAGCUUUAAAGAAGCCCUGUGCGAGUAUUAAGGUAUUCCUCUAUUAAGAGUACACAAACGGCAAAUAUGUUCUCAACUGCUCUUAUAGGCUUCAUGCUGUGGGCAGGAAUAUCAAGCGAGUACAGUGAGUAUGACUGUCAGCUACCAAAUAAUUCUGUUCUAUUGAAUGGAACAGUGAAUAACAGUCAAACUCCUUGCGUACAGUACACUUGUCAAUGGGGAAACCUGUGGACCGAAGGAAGUGCACCCCUAGCCAUAAGAGAUAAAGCAGAGUGGCUUCUUUUCGGCGGAUUCCAGUUGGCAUACAGACAUGCUUCAAAGAGGACAGGUGUCCCGUUAUGACUGAUCCAUUGUGUACGCAGAUGCCCGGUGCUCUCGGUCCCUAUCCCGUUUGCUGCCCAACGUACAUGUGUUCG
rnacentral:misc_RNA from 1 species